CCUACGGGAGGCAGCAGUGGGGAAUAUUGCGCAAUGGGCGAAAGCCUGACGCAGCGACGCCGCGUGAGGGAUGAAGGUCUUCGGAUCGUAAACCUCUGUCAGCAGGGAAGAACGGUCACUGUGCUAAUCAGCAGUGAAUUGACGGUACCUGCAAAGGAAGCACCGGCUAACUCCGUGCCAGCAGCCGCGGUAAUACGGAGGGUGCGAGCGUUAAUCGGAAUUACUGGGCGUAAAGCGCUCGUAGGCGGUAUGUCAAGUCAAGGGUGAAAUCCCCGCGCUCAACGUGGGAACCGCCUUUGAAACUGGCAAACUGGAGUGUGUGAGAGGAUAGUGGAAUUCCAGGGGUAGGAGUGAAAGCCGUAGAUAUCUGGAGGAACAUCAGUGGCGAAGGCGACUAUCUGGCACAUAACUGACGCUGAGGAGCGAAAGCGUGGGUAGCAAACAGGAUUAGAUACCCCAGUAGUC
rnacentral:rRNA from 1 species